AAGGCCCAGCCCUCGCGGCCCGCCAGGUGCGGCAGCGAGCAGGUGACCGGGAGGUUCCGGCCGUCCACCCUGGCCUCGGCGCCGCUGGGGUCCCGGAGCCGAGGCGGAAUGAAGAACUGCGGGAUGCGGUCCGGGGUUGCUCCUGAAAGAGACUCACUUCUGCUCCUGGCAGCUGGGAACACGCCUGAUUGCUGAUCCGUAGGGCCAGUCCAGGGAGAUUCACCUCUCUCAGUAUAUGUACAAAGUUGGUGCAGUGCCAGAGGAGUCCAGAAGAGGACAUUGGACCAUCUGGGACUGGAGUUACAGGUAGUUUCGAGCUGCUCUUUGGGUGCUGGAAACCAAACCAGGAUCUUCUACAAGAACAGCAAAUGUUCUAAACUGUUGAUGAUUUCUCCUGCCCUGAGAAGGAUAGUUUUGGUUUGUAAAUAAUCACAAAAGUAGAGUGGGAUUUGUGGAAGCUUGAUCUUGGGGCUUCAUUCACCCAUAGUUGUUGAGUAUCUGCUCUGUUCAUGUCUGGGAAUACAGCAACAAGAAAACAGAUUCCCCUGGCCAGAUGUAACUUAUUAUUUCCUGGGAGAGGGCAGGCAAUGGUGGCACACGCAUUGGUUAAUCAGCGAGGAGGUGUCUCCUGUGUUAAAGGAGCCUGCUGUCUGUUGAGGAUGGUGCAAGAAGGUAAGGGUUCUUGGAGAAAGAGAAGAGGGGACACAGCUGAAAUAACGUCGUGGGAGAUGACUGGUACAUGAGCCAGGACUGUGAGGGUCUGUUUCUGGUGUAUUCUGAAGAGAGGAUUUCCAGAUAGACUCAUUCCCUAAGAGUUUUGCCCUAAGCAUCUGAAAAAAUGGAGUUAUCAUUUUAUUAAGUGAGGAGUGCAGGAGGCAGGUGGAUCUCUGUGAGUUCGAAGCCAGCCUGGUCUACCGAGCGAGUUUCAGGACAGCCUCCAAAACAAUACAGAGAAACCUGUCUCGAAAAACAAACAAACAAGAGAGAGAGAGAGAGAGAGAGAGAGAGAGAGAGAGAGGAAAUAUUAGGUACUCAGUUUUGUAUCUGUUGUUUGAGACCCUUUAAUGUUAGACUUUUAAGUGGGAAUGUAGAGUUGACUUUGGAUACAUGAAUCUUGUGCCUAGAGAUGAGGCACAGAUUCUUAUGGCAGCAGCAAAAUCUUUAUUUUUGGGGGUAGAGUUCUAUUUCCCAUUACAGGUUGCAAGCCUUCAGGACACACACACACACACACACACACACACUUAAAAUAAAUCAAAUCUUUUUGAAAAAGUUGGAAGUAAACAGCAAUUCUGCUGAAGAGAGUUGGCUGAAAGGGUAAGGAGAAAUGGGGCCAUGGCCCAAGGGAAAGGAGAAUCAAGAGAGAAUUUGUUUUGAGACAGGCUGCCCUUGAGUUACUUUGAAAUCUCCAUAUAGUAGAAGAUGACCUUGAACCCUUGUUCCUCCUGCACUAUCACACCCAGUUUAUACGGUGGUAGGGAUCAAACCUAGAGUCCUGUGCAUUCUAGGUGAGUACUCCACCACCUGAGCCACAUAUAUGUGUUUUAAAAUGUAUUAUUUAUUUGUGUGUCUGGGAGCGGGGCAAGAAUGCCUGUGGAGGACAGGAGAGGACAUCUGGUCCCCUGCGGCUGCUUAAUGUGGGUGCUGGGACCCACACUUGGGUCCUUUGGAAGAGCGGCAAGUGCUCUUAACUGAUAUCUUCUUUUUAACCUUCUGUUACAUAUGUUCAUGUGUGUGUUGUUACUUUUUUAUUGAGACAGAGUCUCCUUAUAUAGCCCUAGUUAUCUUGUAACUCCCUAUGUAGACCAGGCUGGUCUUGAGCUCACAGAGAUCUGCCUGCCUCUGCCCCCAGAGUGCUGGGAUUAAAGAUAUGAUCUCUGUUGCCUUUUUUUUUUUGAUAUAGGAUCUCAUGUAGUCUAGGCUGGACUUGAACUCAUUAUGUAGCAGAGACUGUCCUUGUACUCCUGACCUUUCUGCCUCUGCCUCCAAAGUGUCACCAUGCUCAGCUCAAGAGAGUUUUUAACUAAGAGAAGCAAUGGCAUGCUUGUAUACUGAUAUAAAGUCCAACAGAAAAACAUAAGCGUUGACUUUAAGAAUGUAAUGUUGGAAUGUAGCUGCUGUUCAGGUCACUGCACUCUGCAACAGCUUUCCCCUUUACAGAUGCCAGUGGGCACCUUGCUGAGUGUGAGGGCUGUUCUUGGUGUCAGUUUGACGAUCUGGAACGUGCGCAAGUGGAGGUACACCUGUGAGGGAUAGUCUGCUCUGUUUGAAGUAGGUGAAUCCACUUCUAGUCUGGACCUUUGAGGUAGAAGACAACUCUAAUCUCGAUCUUGAGGUGGGAAGACACAUUCCUUUAAGCUAGAUCUUGAGGUGGGAAGACACACCUUUAAUCUGGGUCAUACCUGCUGCUGGAAGCCCGUAUGAGGACAAUCAAAGAAGGAAGGUUUUGCUUUUAACCUGCUGGCCCUCGCCUUGCUAGCACAUUCAUUCCUUCACUGGCAUUGGAGCCUACUUUUUCAGGAUUCCAGCAUAUAUAGAAGACCAGUUGAGACACCUAGCCGUGUGCGACUGAGAAACCACUAGAUUUCUGGACUUUCUGUUCAUAGCUAGCCAUUGUUGGAUUAGUUGGACUGCAGCCUGUAAUUCAUUCCAGUAAAUUCCAUAUAUAUACAUGCGAUGCGUGUGUGUGUGUGUGUGUGUGUGUGUGUGUGUGUGUGUGUGUGUGUGUGUGUGUGGUCUGGUUGGAACCUCCAGCUCACCCCUGCAUGAUCCAGAAAGCCCCAUUCCUGUCUCUUCCUCCAAACCCUACCCACUCAGAGAAUCUCCAAACGAAGGGAAGGCACCAAAAAGCUUAGUGUUCCAAAUUCUUGGAAGCUAUGGCAGCUUCUUUCCCUAAAGUUGCCAUUCGUCCAAGUCCCUGUCUAAAACUUGCAGUUUUUGACCAUACUUGGGCACAAACCCAACUUGUGGUAGACAUAUCAUCGCCCCUUACCUACAACCUAUAAAGUCUCCUUGCUUUUGUUUGUGGAUGUGGCUUCUCUGACCUCCAUCUCUGGGUCUGGAGAAUCUGCCUAGGAGUUGCUUUGCUCAAAUAAACCUGUUGUUAUACUUUUAAAAUUCAGCUUUAUUUGGUUUAUUGUGUCAGUGGAGAAACAUAUUAUGGGGGGGCAGAAAACACACACACACACACACACAGACACACACACACACAAGUAAGUUCUGUGAUUCUAGAGAACACUGACUAAUACACUGAGACAUUGUAAGUCCUUAACUAACAGACUUCUGGCUGCCGUGAUCUCUCAACCUGGAAGUGAGUUAACAUCAAAGGGGGUACUGGUCAUUCAUUCUGCUCCCCACCCACUUUCCUGCCAACUGCCUGGAAUCAGAGAGCCUUUUUGGAGGCUCUUGUGAACACCCAUUCUCAGAAAGGUAUGAAAACACUCUCCUGCACGGGGACUCUGAGUCUUCUCUUCAGAGACUCCGCCAUGCUGUUGCUUCUGUCUAUCCAUCAUGUUGAUAACCUUCCUAAUAAAUUCCUUCUCCCCAGUAAUCUA